UCUAUGGGAUGCAGCAGUGGGGAAUAUUGGGCAAUGGGCGCAAGCCUGACCCAGCAAUGCCGCGUGAAGGAAGAAGGCUUUCGGGUUGUAAACUUCUUUGACAGGGGAAGAGCAGAAGACGGUACCCCUUGAAUAAGCCACGGCUAACUACGUGCCAGCAGCCGCGGUAAUACGUAGGUGACAAGCGUUGUCCGGAUUUACUGGGUGUAAAGGGCGUGCAGCCGGGAAGACAAGUCAGAUGUGAAAUCCCGCGGCUCAACCGCGGAACUGCAUUUGAAACUGUUUUUCUUGAGUAUCGGAGAGGUAAUCGGAAUUCCUAGUGUAGCGGUGAAAUGCGUAGAUAUUAGGAAGAACACCAGUGGCGAAGGCGGAUUACUGGACGACAACUGACGGUGAGGCGCGAAAGCGUGGGGAGCAAACAGGAUUAGAUACCCUAGUAGUC
rnacentral:rRNA from 1 species